GGGAAGCUUUGUGGACUGAAUGGCCCUAGGCACUUUGCAGAACGUUUAUCCGGUCUUUACCUCCAGCCGGUGCUGGGGUUGGGGCGGGGAUAAGGAAGGAAGCCCGGGAAGGAAGCGCUGUGGAAGAAGGGAGAGCCAGCUGGUCACCACGGGUUUGUUUUCUCACCUGAGUCCCCAGCCCUCCCCUAGCCUGGCUUCUCUCACCUGCUCAGGUAAAGAGGUAGGGGGAGCCUCACUCAGCCAAUGAACGGCAAUUAUUCUCUUAAAGGCACCCAGCAGCUGGCAGGGAAACCAGCCAUGCCACCUGGAGAGCUCCCUGCUGGGGGCCAGAGGCAGCUGUGCCAUUUAGGUGUACUUAAGCCCUCCAUGGCCACUCUGUGACCCCAGGGCCUGGUCGUUUCAUGUCCGGGAGAGUGCUUUCUUCAGAGACGCCUCCUUCGCCUGGCCCAGAGCUGGCUUUCCAGAAGGCUCCCAUGCCUAGCUGCCCUGGCAGACGCCCAGGGAGGAAAGACAGCGUGGCCUUUGGCAACUGCUCGGCAGGAAGGAGCCCAGAGGUGUGAGGGAGAAGCCAUUUCCCUGUCCUGACCCCCUUCGACAAACCCUGGUGGGGUCCUGAGGCCUGGAACAAUGAAGUGGAUAUUCUCAUAGAUACCAGCGAACCCACCCCCUAGAUUCCCAGCCCUGUGUGUUUGGGCUGGGCCCCACUAUCUCUUUUGCAAACAAAUCGAUCAACACAAAGAACAGAGUCCAAGAAGAUCUAAAAACAAUAAUAACAACAAGAACACUUCACAGGUAGCAGUUAACAGAAACCGACAUUAUCACCUUCACUCUAUUAAUGCUUAUGGUUUUCUCAACAGCCUGAUGAGGGUUCUCCCUAUUUUGCAGAAGAUGAACAGAGGCACAGCGAGGGGUCAUGGCUUGCUCAGGCUCACAUAGCAAGUAGGUUACAGAGCUGGGAUUCUGCAAACCCCCUGGCUUACAGCCCAGACUUUUUGCCCCUAUGCUACACUGCCUCAUGUUCCACCAACCAUCUGAUUAAAGGACUUCCUAAAGCUGU